rnacentral:rRNA from 1 species
UACGAAGGGGGCUAGCGUUGCUCGGAAUCACUGGGCGUAAAGGGCGCGUAGGCGGCGGACACAGUCAGACGUGAAAUUCCUGGGCUCAACCUGGGGGCUGCGUUUGAUACAUGUCUGCUUGAGUUCGGAAGAGGGUCGUGGAAUUCCCAGUGUAGAGGUGAAAUUCGUAGAUAUUGGGAAGAACACCGGUGGCGAAGGCGGCGACCUGGUCCGAUACUGACGCUGAGGCGCGAAAGCGUGGGGAGCAAACAGG